CCUACGGGAGGCAGCAGUAGGGAAUAUUGCUCAAUGGGGGAAAGCCUGAAGCAGCAACGCCGCGUGGAGGAUGAAGGUUUUCGGAUUGUAAACUCCUUUUGUUAGAGAAGAUAAUGACGGUAUCUAACGAAUAAGCACCGGCUAACUCCGUGCCAGCAGCCGCGGUAAUACGGAGGGUGCAAGCGUUACUCGGAAUCACUGGGCGUAAAGAGCGCGUAGGCGGGAUAGCAAGUCAGAUGUGAAAUCCUAUGGCUUAACCAUAGAACUGCAUGUGAAACUGUUAUUCUAGAGUAUGGGAGAGGUAGGUGGAAUUCUUGGUGUAGGGGUCAAAUCCGUAGAGAUCAAGAGGAAUACUCAUUGCGAAGGCGACCUGCUAGAACAUAACUGACGCUGAUGCGCGAAAGCGUGGGGAGCAAACAGGAUUAGAUACCCCAGUAGUC
rnacentral:rRNA from 1 species